rnacentral:rRNA from 1 species
AUUGGACGCUGGCGGCAUGCCUUACACAUGCAAGUCGAACGGUAACAGGUCUUCGGAUGCUGACGAGUGGCGAACGGGUGAGUAAUACAUCGGAACGUGCCCGAUCGUGGGGGAUAACGAGGCGAAAGCUUUGCUAAUACCGCAUACGAUCUACGGAUGAAAGCGGGGGAUCUUCGGACCUCGCGCGGACGGAGCGGCCGAUGGCAGAUUAGGUAGUUGGGGGGAUAAAAGCUUACCAAGCCGACGAUCUGUAGCUGGUCUGAGAGGAUGAUCAGCCACACUGGGACUGAGACACGGCCCAGACUCCUACGGGAGGCAGCAGUGGGGAAUUUUGGACAAUGGGCGAAAGCCUGAUCCAGCCAUGCCGCGUGCAGGAUGAAGGCCUUCGGGUUGUAAACUGCUUUUGUACGGAACGAAAAGCCUCUUUCUAAUAAAGAGGGGUCAUGACGGUACCGUAAGAAUAAGCACCGGCUAACUACGUG